GGACGUGGGAGCACCUCUCUCUGCCCUGGGCCUUCUGUGGACAGAAUGGUCAAGAGCACAGGUAUCUGAGGUCCAGUCUGGCUGAUGGAGAUUUGAUCCACUCUCAUGAGCCACUGAAAGAAGGGAUGGAUGUGUCUUCCAACCUGUCUGGGAUUAGGAUGAGUGGGUUCAAAGGUUCUGGAAAGUGCUCUCUUUCUGUACUGUUUCUUCUCAUUCUUUUGGACUGGAAGUAUCUUUAAUGGACAGAAAUCUUCACGAAGCUAAAGUCUGCAGCAUGAGCCCUCUUGGAUCAGAAACACCAUGACACCAUCUGGGGUGGAGGUGGAGCACUGAGCUUCAGGAGAGAGAAGGGGCAGAGGAGGGUGGGCCGAGACACUGGUGGUGUGCAACACCUGCUUGCCAAGGACCGGUGCUGGGUUCUUUGUCACUAUCUGGGCUCUUUUUCUCUUCCACCAGACGAUCAUGCAUUUGGGAAGUUUUCUUAUGGGGGUUAUUAUGGACGAUGCUUCCACAAACGUUUCAUUAUUUGUUUUUGGAGAAUAUACGUUGGUGAUAUUCCUAAGAGAGCAACUAUGCUCAAGAUAAGAUCUUGAGAAAGGAGAAGUGAGGAGGAGAAAGAUAAUCACAAGAAAAUGGUCAACAUGUCUCAGAAAUUUCCCCCAAUUCCAUGCACAUCCUUCUCUAAGGCAUGGACUCUGACACCCGCAGGAGGCUCAUCGGUGUUCAAGGAGGUACUGGGUCCAGUCCUCAGAGCAGAACUAUGCCUCGUCCAUCAGGAAUUUACACUUUGUGUGUGUGUGUGUGGUUUUCCAUUCAUCUUUCCUGACCUCUUAAGCUUAAAGAAAAAGGCUCAUGUCCCACCAUUUUCUGGCUGCUCCUUCACAAGAGGCCUGUCUCAAAGGGAAGGCUUCCUGGAACUUUGGUUUUGAUGCCACAAAGAUUCAGUCUCUGCUGGGUUCCUACGUGGGGAACGCAGAAGACUCUGCACAUGCAGCCUCUCUGCUCACCCUCAUCCCUCUCCUGCCUGAAUGCCAGCCUCUCCUCCCCCAACUCCGUCCUCUCUCGCUCACUUCCCGCCCCUCAGCUCCUCUUGUCCUCACGCCAGCCACUGGCAGAGGCACAUCAAAGGUCCAAAGAGGGUGGGGAGGGAUUUUGAACAGGGAGACGUAAGGAAGCUGUGGGAGAGGCUGUGCAGCCUCUUCCAAUUGCCACAGCUCCCCCUCUGCGCGGGUGGAGGGCUCUGGGCUUUUCUUCCCAGCUCUGGGAUGUCAGGACGGUCUUGUGAACAGGGUUCUUGUGCUCAGUGCAUCGGGUAUCGCUGGUAGACUCUGAUAUACAGAAAGAUGAGCCCUGAUGCUGAAGGGGUGGGGACACCCCAUCCCUCUAUCUGCUCCGAGGAUGCGGGUAAGCGCAGGAGACAGAAGCUUAGGAAGUCUGGUGUCCUGCUACGUUGCUUUGUAUUUUUUCCAGGCUCUUGCUAUACGGUGCAUGGUUAUGCUGGAAAUUAGUUUGAGGGAAAACAGGAGGUGAGAGCCAGUGACAUCUUUUACUUUGGAUCUCUGGUAUUUUGUAAUCUCCCUGACUCCUCUGCCCCACUCUGACAACCUCACCAAACAAAAAUCAUAAUUUGAGCAUUGACUAAAAUGCUCUGGCACUAUGCUAGAAUUCUCUGUUUGCCAAAUACCAAAAUAUUUGCGACUUGCAUAAACUUCUCACAGCUCCCUAAUUAUAUCCUAUACACGAUGCCGGGGACCCAGAAGACAGGCAGCUGCUUUCCAGCUGCAGACACACCUGACGUAUUAAGAUCUCAAAGCAAAGCAGCUCAGAACAGAGGCUGAGUGGAACCCGCAGACCCUGAAAAGUAAAAGGCCCACAGAGAGGGGCAAGCACCUCAAGGAGGAGAGGACAGGUGAGGUUUUCUGGGAGAGAGGGUCAGGAGAAGGUCCCGAAGGACAGGUAGGUAGCAGAAGUGAAGCUUCCAAUGCAGGGGACAGCGGGAGCGACGGGAGCCAUGUCAUCAUCAACACCAUGUGACCACGGAACUGAAGGGACUUGGGAUCACCCUGAUUAUCUGUAGGAUGACAAGGCUGAGGUUGGGAUGGGAUAGGGCCUUGCCUGAGGUCGCAGGACGGAGAGGCCAGGACCCUGGAGUUACUUCCUUUGCUCAGAGGUGCUGUCUGCACACAGAGCUGCUGUAGGAUGGUGUCCCUCUGUGCCCUGGUGGCUCAGCCACCAGCCUCAUGGGUGCUUUUUUGCCUUAGGCUUGGCGCCGGAGGCAUUUUCCUCGUGCGUCUUUUCCUUAAACUGCCACCAGCCCAGGUAGCUUCCUGCCCGAGGCCUGGCCCUGCCCAUGUCAGCGCUGACGGACCCUGAAUCCGCGCCUCCAACCUGCGGUUCACAGAUGCAGAGACAGGCCAGGGAGGGUGGCAGCAGGGCUCUCCCAGGAGCGCAGGUCACCCUCCUGGGCCGCCAGGCGUCCUAGGAGGAGGGAAUGCCCCCAACCGCAGGGGACGCAGGGACAAGGGUGAAAAAGGUACAGAAGCCACACUCACUUUUGGAUAAUCGCGUACUCUGCCCCUACCUCUUGUCCGCCUCCCCUGAGUCAUGUCGAGGCCAAGGGUCCUCCUAGCGCUGCUGCCUCAGACCUAAAAGACCUUGGACUUUAUGCUGGACCCAUAGCCUGCAGGGGUGGCUGUACCCCGUGCUGGAGGCAGGGGUGAUGAGGAGGCAGGGGUGCUUGGGGGGCUCUGAGACAGGAACGGAGGGCUCAGGCCUCCUCUGAAGUGGGAGGAGCAACCCAUUUGAUCUUCCCUAUUUUACAGGAAAGGCUUGGCCCUGUCCCCUGGGAACCGGGUCGACAGGAAAUAACCAAGCUUAUGUUUGAGGAGGCACUGGUGUUUUUUCUCCGUGUUAACCGCUGGGCCGGCUGUCUUUCUUUUGAGAGUUUCAAACCGGGAAAGGCCUCCUAAAUGGAUCGGAAUUUAAAAGACCACAUGGAUGGGCCUAAAGACUGUUAUGCAAAGUGACAUAGUCAGACAGGAAAGACAAACACCAUAUGAUUUCCCUUAUAUGUAGAAUCUAAAAAACAAAGCAAAUGAACAAACAAAAUCUGAGACAAACCCAUAAAUGCAGAGAAUAAACUGGUGGCUGCUCGAGGGCAGGGGGAUGGGGGAAGGAGCGAAGUUGGUCAAAAAGAUGUGGAGGCAUAAACGUCCAGUUAGGAAAUAAAUCAGAGAUAAAAAGUACCGUGUAGGGGAUAGAGUCAAUAAUACUGUAAUAACUUUGCACAGUGACAAAGGGUGACUGUCCUCAGGCCGGCGAGUGCUGGGCAGUGUGGGGAAUCGUCAGAUCAGUGUGUUGUACACCUGAAGCCAAUAUAGCGCUGUAUGCGUCAACAACAAAAUGUAAAAUAUAAAAAAAUUAAAAAUAAAAGAGGACAUUCAUCCUGCCGCUUGUGACAACAUGGAUGAAAGUAGAGGCCAUUAUGCUAAGUGAGAUGAGGUGACCAGAGAAAGAUAAAGACCAUGUGGCAUCACUGAUAUGUGGGAUUGGAACCGGGAGCUGCCAGAUAGGCUCCUGGGAGGAGUAGGUCAGAAGAUACCAAAGGUAUACUUAAAAGGUGAGUAAGUUCUGAGGAAUUAAUUUUUUUUUAUUUAUGAUAGUCACACAGAGAGAGAGAGAGAGAGGCAGAGACACAGGCAGAGGGAGAAGCAGGCUCCAUGCACCAGGAGCCCGAUGUGGGAUUCGAUCCCGGGUCUCCAGGAUCAGGCCCUGGGCCAAAGGCGGCGCCAAACCGCUGCGCCACCCAGGGAUCCCAGUUCUGAGGAAUUAAUAUCAGCAUAGUGACUAAGUUAAUAAUAUGUCACAUAUCGAAAUUGGCUAAAAGAGUAAAUUUUAAGUAUUCUUAUCACAAACGCAAAGAACCACGUGAGGUGACGGAUGUGCUAGUUUUUCUUGAUUGAGGUGAUCAUUUCACAUGUACACGUAUGUCACACCAUGUUGUACACUUUGAAUAUAUGCGAUCUUAUCUGUCGCAAAAAAUGGAGGCGAUUUUAGAAAUGACAAUUCUUGGAAUUGCAAAAAAGGUUGAAGUGUUCAUAACUCAUCUGAAGGAUGACCAAGGAUGAGAGAGACUAAGAGUCAACCAGAGAAAGACAAUUAUCAUGGUUUCACUCACAUGUGGAAUUUAAGAAGGAAAGGAGAUGAUCACAGGGGAAGAGAGGGAAAAAUGAAACAGGAUGAAGUCAGAUGGAAAACCGUAAGACUCUUAAGAACAGGAACAACUGAGGGUAGUUGGAGGGGCGGCGGGUGGGGCUGGGGUCACUGCGGGCCGGGCAUGAAGGAGGGCACUCCCUGCACUGAGCACUGGGGGUUACCUGCAACCAGUGAAUAACUGACUCUACAUCUGAAACUACUGAUGCACCACGUGUUAACCAAUUAGAAAAUAAAUCAACAAAAAGUGUGUGAGCACAGUGGACGGGAGAUAGCGCGUGUGUGGAGGUGAGAGUGCGUACACGUGUAGGUGCGCACAAACUCUGGUAUGUGCACACGUGUGUUGCAGGAGAGGGCAGAGCAGGCCGGGCACCGGGGUCCCACGCUGUGGACGUUAAGCUCUGUAAGGCGGCAUCUGUGCCUUCCUCAAGCACUGGCCUCGCCUCUGCCCUGCACAUGGUCAUGGUGGCACCGUAGAAGCCUCUAGUCAGAGCAGAGACUGGCGGGCUUAGGGCUAAGGAAGGGCGGGUGCCUGGCUCAGGUCAGCAGUCAUUCAACAAACGCUUGGUGAGAAUAUGUGAUGAUCUGUGGAGGGUGUGUGAGGGGGU